GUUAAAAAGCUCGUAGUUGAAUUUCGGGGUUAGUAGAUUGGUCAUGCCUCUGGUAUGCACUGGUCUCACUGAUUCCUCCUUCCUGAUGAGCCGUAAUGCCAUUAAUUUGGUGUUGCGGGGAAUUUGGACUGUUACUUUGAAAAAAUUAGAGUGUUUAAAGCAGGCUCACGCUUGAAUACAUUAGCAUGGAAUAAUGAAAUAGGACGUUUGAUUCUAUUUUGUUGGUUUCUAGGAUCGAUGUAAUGAUUAAUAGGGAUAGUUGGGGGCAUUAGUAUUCAAUUGUCAGAGGUGAAAUUCUUGGAUUUAUUGAAGACUAACUACUGCGAAAGCAUUUGCCAAGGAUGUUUUCAUUAAUCAAGAACGAAAGUUAGGGGAUCGAAGACGAUCAGAUACCGUCGUAGUCUUAACCAUAAACUAUGCCGACUAGGGAUCGGAUGAUGUUAAUUUUUUAAUGACUCAUUCGGCGCCUUACGGGAAACCAAAG
rnacentral:rRNA from 1 species